rnacentral:rRNA from 1 species
UAAAAUUUUAAAGAUCUUAUUUAAAAUCCAGAUUACGACCUCGAUGUUGAAUUAAUAUCCUAAUUAAGGCAAGACUUAAAAAAGGAAGUCUGUUCGACUUUUAAAAAA